UACGUAGGGUGCAGGCGUUAAUCGGAAUUACUGGGCGUAAAGGGUGCGUAGGUGGUUGAUUAAGUUAUGUGUGAAAUUCCUGGGCUUAACCUGGGCAUUGCAGAUGAUACUGAUUGACUCGAGUAUGGGAGAGGGUAGUGGAAUUUCCGGUGUAGCGGUGAAAUGCGUAGAGAUCGGAAGGAACACCGGUGGCGAAGGCGGCUACCUGGCCUAAUACUGACACUGAGGCACGAAAGCGUGGGGAGCAAACAGG
rnacentral:rRNA from 1 species